UACGUAGGUGGCAAGCGUUGUCCGGAAUUAUUGGGCGUAAAGCGCGCGCAGGCGGCCUUUUAAGUCUGAUGUGAAAUCUUGCGGCUCAACCGCAAGCGGCCAUUGGAAACUGGGAGGCUUGGGUACAGAAGAGGAGAGUGGAAUUCCACGUGUAGCGGUGAAAUGCGUAGAUAUGUGGAGGAACACCAGUGGCGAAGGCGACUCUCUGGUCUGUAACUGACGCUGAGGCGCGAAAGCGUGGGGAGCAAACAGG
rnacentral:rRNA from 1 species